AUUGAACGCUGGCGGCAGGCCUAACACAUGCAAGUCGAGCGGAUGAAGGGAGCUUGCUCCUGGAUUCAGCGGUGGACGGGUGAGUAAUGCCUAGGAAUCUGCCUGGUAGUGGGGGAUAACGUCCGGAAACGGGCGCUAAUACCGCAUACGUCCUGAGGGAGAAAGUGGGGGAUCUUCGGACCUCACGCUAUCAGAUGAGCCUAGGUCGGAUUAGCUAGUUGGUGGGGUAAAGGCCUACCAAGGCGACGAUCCGUAACUGGUCUGAGAGGAUGAUCAGUCACACUGGAACUGAGACACGGUCCAGACUCCUACGGGAGGCAGCAGUGGGGAAUAUUGGACAAUGGGCGAAAGCCUGAUCCAGCCAUGCCGCGUGUGUGAAGAAGGUCUUCGGAUUGUAAAGCACUUUAAGUUGGGAGGAAGGGCAGUAAGUUAAUACCUCGCUGUUUUGACGUUACCAACAGAAUAAGCACCGGCUAACUUCGUG
rnacentral:rRNA from 1 species